UACGAAGGGUGCAAGCGUUACUCGGAAUUACUGGGCGUAAAGCGUGCGUAGGUGAUUUUUUAAGUCCGUUGUGAAAGCCCUGGGCUCAACCUGGGAAUGGCAGUGGAUACUGGAAAGCUAGAGUGCGGUAGAGGGUAGUGGAAUUCCCGGUGUAGCAGUGAAAUGCGUAGAGAUCGGGAGGAACACCAGUGGCGAAGGCGGCUACCUGGACCAGCACUGACACUGAGGCACGAAAGCGUGGGGAGCAAACAGG
rnacentral:rRNA from 1 species